GAUGAACGCUGGCGGCGUGCUUAACACAUGCAAGUCGAACGAAGCUGCCCAAAGGAAGUUUUCGGAUGGAAUUUAGGUAACUUAGUGGCGGACGGGUGAGUAACGCGUGGAUAACCUGCCUUAUACAGGGGGAUAACGGAGAGAAAUUUCCGCUAACACCGCAUAAGACCACAGCACCGCAUGGUGCAGGGGUAAAAUAUUUAUAGGUAUAAGAUGGAUCCGCGUCCGAUUAGCUAGUUGGUGAGGUAAAGGCCCACCAAGGCGACGAUCGGUAGCCGGCCUGAGAGGGUGAACGGCCACAUUGGGACUGAGACACGGCCCAAACUCCUACGGGAGGCAGCAGUGGGGAAUAUUGGACAAUGGGGGAAACCCUGAUCCAGCGACGCCGCGUGAGUGAAGAAGUAUUUCGGUUGUAAAGCUCUAUCAGCAGGGAAGAAAA
rnacentral:rRNA from 1 species